AACGAACGCUGGCGGCAUGCCUAACACAUGCAAGUCGAACGAGACCUUCGGGUCUAGUGGCGCACGGGUGCGUAACACGUGGGAACGUGCCUUUAGGUUCGGAAUAGCUCCUGGAAACGGGUGGUAAUGCCGAAUGUGCCCUUCGGGGGAAAGAUUUAUCGCCUUUAGAGCGGCCCGCGUCUGAUUAGCUAGUUGGUGGUGUAACGGACCACCAAGGCGACGAUCAGUAGCUGGUCUGAGAGGAUGAUCAGCCACAUUGGGACUGAGACACGGCCCAAACUCCUACGGGAGGCAGCAGUGGGGAAUCUUGCGCAAUGGGCGAAAGCCUGACGCAGCCAUGCCGCGUGAAUGAUGAAGGUCUUAGGAUUGUAAAAUUCUUUCACCGGGGACGAUAAUGACGGUACCCGGAGAAGAAGCCCCGGCUAACUUCGUGCCAGCCGCCGCCGUAACAC
rnacentral:rRNA from 1 species